rnacentral:rRNA from 1 species
GGUGGUGCAUGGCCGUUCUUAGUUGGUGGAGUGAUUUGUCUGGUUAAUUCCGAUAACGAACGAGACCUUAACCUGCUAACUAGAUUCUUCCAUCUUAUGGUUGAUAUCUUCUUAGAGGGACUAUGUAAAACAAAUACAUGGAAGUUUGAGGCAAUAACAGGCCAGUGAUGCCCUUAUAUGUCCUGGGCUGCACGCGUGCUACACUGAUGCAUACAACAAGUCCCUAACCAGACAUGGUAUGGCAAUCUCGAAUAUGCAUCGUGAUGGGGAUAGAUCUUUGCAAUUAU